rnacentral:rRNA from 1 species
GAUGAACGCUGGCGGCGUGCUUAACACAUGCAAGUCUAACGAUGAAGCCCAGCUUGCUGGGUGGAUUAGUGGCGAACGGGUGAGUAACACGUGAGUAACCUGCCCUUAACUCUGGGAUAAGCCUGGGAAACUGGGUCUAAUACCGGAUAGGAGCGCCUACCGCAUGGUGGGUGUUGGAAAGAUUUAUCGGUUUUGGAUGGACUCGCGGCCUAUCAGCUUGUUGGUGAGGUAAUGGCUCACCAAGGCGACGACGGGUAGCCGGCCUGAGAGGGUGACCGGCCACACUAGGACUGAGACACGGCCCAGACUCCUACGGGAGGCAGCAGUGGGGAAUAUUGCACAAUGGGCGAAAGCCUGAUGCAGCGACGCCGCGUGAGGGAUGACGGCCUUCGGGUUGUAAACCUCUUUCAGUAGGGAAGAAGCGAAAGUGACGGUACCUGCAGAAGAAGCACCGGCUAACUACGUG